GGGGGGGGGGGGGGGGGGGGGGGGGGGAUGGGGGGCGAGCGGGGGGGGGGUGGGAGCUGGCUGUUGCGGGGGGCGAGUGGCGGACGGGGGAGGAAGACAUCGGAAUCUACUUUUUCGGGGGGGAUAACGUGGGGAAGCUUACGCUAAUACCGCAUACGACCUACGGGUGAAGGCAGGGGAUCUUCGGACCUUGCGCGAUUGAAUGAGCCGAUGUCGGAUUCGCCAGUUGGCGGGGUAAAGGCCCACCAAGGCGACGAUCCGUAGCUGGUCUGAGAGGAUGAUCAGCCACACUGGAACUGAGACACGGUCCAGACUCCUACGGGAGGCAGCAGUGGGGAAUAUUGGACAAUGGGCGCAAGCCUGAUCCAGCCAUACCGCGUGGGUGAAGAAGGCCUUCGGGUUGUAAAGCCCUUUUGUUGGGAAAGAAAAGCAGCAGGUUAAUACCCCGCUGUUCUGACGGUACCCAAAGAAUAAGCACCGGCUAACUUCGUG
rnacentral:rRNA from 1 species